AACGGCCAUACCAUGCUGAAUAUACCGGUUCUCGUUAGAUCACCGAAGUCAAGCAUCAUUGGGCGCGGUCAGUACUUGGGUGGGUGACCAUCUGGGAACACCGCGUGCCGU